UACGUAGGGACCAAGCGUUGUCCGGAAUCAUUGGGCGUAAAGAGCGUGUAGGCGGCUUGUUAAGUCUUGCGUGAAAUCUCGGGGCUCAACCCCGAGCGGCGUGAGAAACUGGCAGGCUAGAGUGCGGUAGAGGGUAGUGGAAUUCCCGGUGUAGCGGUGAAAUGCGUAGAGAUCGGGAGGAACACCAGUGGCGAAGGCGGCUACCUGGACCAGCACUGACACUGAGGCACGAAAGCGUGGGGAGCAAACAGG
rnacentral:rRNA from 1 species